AGUUUGAUCAUGGCUCAGGACACGCUGGCGGCGUGCUUAACACAUGCAAGUCGAACGGUGAACCAGAGCUUGCUCUGGGGAUCAGUGGCGAACGGGUGAGUAACACGUGGGCAACCUGCCCCAGACUCUGGGAUAACCCCGGGAAACCGAGCUAAUACCGGAUAUGACCACUUCGGACAUCCGAUGGUGGUGGAAAGUUUUUCGGUCUGGGAUGGGCCCGCGGCCUAUCAGCUAGUUGGUGGGGUAAUGGCCUACCAAGGCGACGACGGGUAGCCGGCCUGAGAGGGCGACCGGCCACACUGGAACUGAGACACGGUCCAGACUCCUACGGGAGGCAGCAGUGGGGAAUAUUGCACAAUGGGCGAAAGCCUGAUGCAGCGACGCCGCGUGAGGGACGACGGCCUUCGGGUUGUAAACCUCUUUCAGCAGGGACGAAGCGAAAGUGACUGUACCUGCAAAAGAAGCACCGGCUAACUACGUG
rnacentral:rRNA from 1 species